rnacentral:rRNA from 1 species
AGAGUUUGAUCAUGGCUCAGAACGAACGCUGGCGGCGUGCCUAACACAUGCAAGUCCGACGUGAAAGGGGAGCAAUCCCCCGGUAGGGUGGCAAACGGGUGAGUAAGACAUGGGUGAUCUACCCUGGAGAUGGGGAUAUCCCUCCGAAAGGGGGGGCAAUACCGAAUAGAGUCCGGUUCCGUGAAGGGGACCGGGGAAAGGGAGGCCUCUGGAACAAGCUUCCGCUCCUGGAUGAGCCCAUGGCCCAUCAGCUAGUUGGUAGGGUAAAGGCCUACCAAGGCGACGACGGGUAGCUGGUCUGAGAGGACAACCAGCCACACUGGCACUGAGACACGGGCCAGACUCCUACGGGAGGCAGCAGUGAGGAAUAUUGCGCAAUGGGGGCAACCCUGACGCAGCAACGCCGCGUGUGGGAAGAAGGCCUUCGGGUUGUAAACCACUUUUGCCCGGGACGAAAAGGGGCGUCAGAAUACGGCGCUUCGAUGACGGUACCGGGAGAAUAAGCCACGGCUAACUCUGUGCCAGCAGCCGCGGUAAGACAGAGGUGGCAAGCGUUGUUCGGAGUUACUGGGCGUAAAGAGUCUGUAGGUGGUUUGUCAAGUCUUUGGUGAAAGGCCGUGGCUUAACCAUGGGAAUGCCAAAAGAGACUGGCAGACUGGAGGCUGGGAGAGGGAAGCGGAAUUUCUGGUGUAGCGGUUGAAAUGCGUAGAUAUCAGAAGGAAGGCCGGUGGCGAAGGCGGCUUCCUGGAACAGGCCUGACACU